AUUGACACCAUCAGCUCCCCUGAUUCCCAGGCCUUCAGACUUGAACUGGAAUUACUCCAUUGGCUUUCCUGAGUCUCUAAUUUGCAGAUGGCAGAUCAUUGAACUUCUCAGCCCGCAUAAAUGGUCUCUGUCAAAUAUCUCCAUGUGAAUAAUGAAGUUGAGAUCUAAAGAAGUAAAGAAACGUGCCCAUGAAUGCACUACUAUUUAUUGACAGAGCCAUAAAUCAAGCACAGGACUGUCUGUUUCUAAAAUGCAGAUUGUUUCCAUUUUACAAAAGCAGUAUCACAUAGAAAAUGCUUAGAUAGAAAUUUGAUGACUCAAAAAAAGAAAUGUCAUGUAAAAUUUUCCUGCAUCAGAGGUGGUUGGACAAAUUAGCAUUUUGAUACUGCCUAUAUCACAGAUAUUGCGAGUAUUGUGAUUCAAAUAUUCAUUCAAUAUUGUGAUUCAAAUAUUUAUUCUGUUAAUAUGGUACAUUAUAUUGUUAUUUAAAUUUAAAAAUACCAUAGCUUUCCUGGAAUGCCACCCACAUAGUUAUAAUGUAAUACAUCAUUAUCCUAUAUAAAUACUAAUGGAUUUGGAACAUAAAUCUUAGAUCUUGGCUUGGUUUUCCUAUGAAGGUUAUGCCUUCUACCACAGUUUUCUGAAAAUGUUUGUGUACAAGUGAAAGUCUUUUCUAAACAUUCGACAAUGGAAUCUUAUUUGUGGAAAUGUUUUUAAUUACAAAUGUAUUUCUUUUAUAAGAUAUAGGGAUAUUCACAUGUUCUAUUUUACAAUGUGUUAGAUUUUGG
rnacentral:lncRNA from 10 species